CAGGAUUCCAGUGGUGUGCUUCCUUUCCAGACUUGCCUAAGGAUCGUGUUUUGUGCUCUGGGGCUGUUACAUUUCCAGGUGGCUUUGACCAGCAUGGAUGCCCACUGCUCCUGUUCCCUGUUCUUGAGCAGAAUAAACUAAAUUCAGAUCUCAAGAAGGAAGAUGUUGUUGAGUUUAUUGGUUAUUUUUUGUAUUUGCAUAAUAAACACCAAGGAGGAGAAUGCCCAAUUUCAGUGGUACUUGAUCUCAGACAAGCUACACUAAACACAACGAGAUUCAUCACUGACACCCUUUUACUGGCCCAGCAAUCCAGGAAAACCAUUCACACUGUAUAUGCUAUCCAGCCCAAAAGAAAGAAUGUAAAAAAUCUUCUGUUAAAAUCUAUAGCAUGGAGUUCAUCAAAAUCUCACACUGCCUCU